rfam:Capsicum annuum cultivar Zunla-1 unplaced genomic scaffold scaffold7448, whole genome shotgun sequence
CUAUUCAUGAAGAUGAUUUAAUUCUUCAUAUUCUUGGAGGUCUUGGUCCCGAUUGUGAUGUAUUAGUGGUGUUUGUGACUGCUAGAUCAGAACCUAUUACACUUACAGAUCUUUAUGGUCUCUUGCUUAGCUAUGAGU